rnacentral:rRNA from 1 species
UACAGAGGUCUCAAGCGUUGUUCGGAUUCAUUGGGCGUAAAGGGUGUGUAGGUGGCGCGCUAAGUCGGGUGUGAAAUUUCGGAGCUUAACUCCGAAACUGCAUUCGAUACUGGCGUGCUUGAGGACUGGAGAGGAGCUUGGAAUUCUCGGUGUAGCAGUGAAAUGCGUAGAUAUCGAGAAGAACGCUCGCAGCGAAGGCGAAGCUCUGGGCAAAUUCUGACGCUGAUGCACGAAGGCUAGGGGAGCAAACGGG